CAUGCAAGUCGAACGAUGAACCACUUCGGUGGGGAUUAGUGGCGAACGGGUGAGUAACACGUGGGCAAUCUGCCCUUCACUCUGGGACAAGCCCUGGAAACGGGGUCUAAUACCGGAUACAACCACUGCAGGCAUCUGUUGGUGGUGGAAAGCUCCGGCGGUGAAGGAUGAGCCCGCGGCCUAUCAGCUUGUUGGUGAGGUAACGGCUCACCAAGGCGACGACGGGUAGCCGGCCUGAGAGGGCGACCGGCCACACUGGGACUGAGACACGGCCCAGACUCCUACGGGAGGCAGCAGUGGGGAAUAUUGCACAAUGGGCGAAAGCCUGAUGCAGCGACGCCGCGUGAGGGAUGACGGCCUUCGGGUUGUAAACCUCUUUCAGCAGGGAAGAAGCGAAAGUGACGGUACCUGCAGAAGAAGCGCCGGCUAACUACGUGCCAGCAGCCGCGGUAAUACGUAGGGCGCGAGCGUUGUCCGGAAUUAUUGGGCGUAAAGAGCUCGUAGGCGGUCUGUCGCGUCGGAUGUGAAAGCCCGGGGCUUAACCCCGGGUCUGCAUUCGAUACGGGCAGACUAGAGUGUGGUAGGGGAGAUCGGAAUUCCUGGUGUAGCGGUGAAAUGCGCAGAUAUCAGGAGGAACACCGGUGGCGAAGGCGGAUCUCUGGGCCAUUACUGACGCUGAGGAGCGAAAGCGUGGGGAGCGAACAGGAUUAGAUACCCUGGUAGUCCACGCCGUAAACGGUGGGAACUAGGUGUUGGCGACAUUCCACGUCGUCGGUGCCGCAGCUAACGCAUUAAGUUCCCCGCCUGGGGAGUACGGCCGCAAGGCUAAAACUCAAAGGAAUUGACGGGGGGCCCGCACAAGCAGCGGAGCAUGUGGCUUAAUUCGACGCAACGCGAAGAACCUUACCAAGGCUUGACAUACACCGGAAACGGCCAGAGAUGGUCGCCCC
rnacentral:rRNA from 1 species